rnacentral:lncRNA from 1 species
UUAAAUACCUCGGCGUUUUACGUUUCCGCAAAUUGGCAUUACUUUUCCGCGAAAAAAAGAUGACGUUUCCGGAAAAAAAAGUUUACGUUUCCGCAAAUAAAUAUCUUACUUUUCCGGAAAAAAAGUAACUAUUCCGGAAAAAAUAAAUUAUUACUUUUCUGCAAAUAAUUAAGGAAUACCUAUUGAUCGAAACCAAAGCUAUAAUAAAAAAUAAAUAUGCAUUAAGUUAAAGGUCAUCAUAACAAGUAAGUAAAAACAUCAUUAAAAUGUAUGAAAACAUAUGUUCAAACAUAUCUUGAUAUUAGUUCAUAAGUCAGUUCUGGCAUUCGUUGUUCUCUUUUCCUCGGGGUCAGGGGUGAUGCCCAAAUGCUUGGUGGAAAUCUCAAUUGCCACCCAUAUGAAAUUCCAAUAUAUAAUCGGUAGACCUCAUGCAUUUAUAGUCAGAUGGAGCAUCGACAAUUAAUUCAACAAAGCAUUCUUUAAUCAUGUCAGUUGGCAAGUAAGCCAAACCAAAGAUUUCUCAAUGAAGUUUAACUCAUCCUUACCCGAGUCAACUAGUUAUAUCUAGAAAAUUGUAGCUAUACUGAGAUCAGAACAUUUGUUUUAUUAAAAAUAAAAAAAAUUAAAAAAUUACCACAUAUGUACAUUCAAAUCUUUAUAAUUUACCAGGUAAAUUUGCGGAAAAGUAAUAAAUGCAAAUUGCGGAAACGUAUACUUUAAAUUUGCGGAAACGUAGUAUUGGGACUUUGAAUAAUUAGCGGAAAUGCAAUACGCCCAAAUACCUGU